GACGAACGCGGCGGCGUGCUUAACACAUGCAAGUCGAACGAAGAGCGACGGAAGCUUGCUUCUAUCAAUCUUAGUGGCGAACGGGUGAGUAACGCGUAAUCAACCUGCCCUUCAGAGGGGGACAACAGUUGGAAACGACUGCUAAUACCGCAUACGAUCUAAUCUGGCAUCGAGGAUAGAUGAAAGGUGGCCUCUACAUGUAAGCUAUCACUGAAGGAGGGGAUUGCGUCUGAUUAGCUAGUUGGAGGGGGUAACGGCCCACCAAGGCGAUGAUCAGUAGCCGGUCUGAGAGGAUGAACGGCCACAUUGGGACUGAGACACGGCCCAGACUCCUACGGGAGGCAGCAGUGGGGAAUCUUCCGCAAUGGACGAAAGUCUGACGGAGCAACGCCGCGUGAGUGAUGACGGCCUUCGGGUUGUAAAGCUCUGUUAAUCGGGACGAAAGGCCUUCUUGCGAAUAGUGAGAAGGAAUGACGGACCGGA
rnacentral:rRNA from 1 species